UUUUUUUUUUGGUAUUCCAGGGCACCAAAUUCAUGAACUAUAACACACAAAAAGUUGAGGAUUUUGGGUAAAUCCUAAAAAAGGGGUUGUAAAUGUGGAAAUAGGCGUUACAAAAUGGUGUGAGUAUACGUGGUGGUUCCCCAACUCAUUAUGGAUUUUCUCAUAAAGUUUUUUGAGAAAACAAUUUUUAGUGCUCCGGGCGCCAUAUUCAUGGGCUAUAACACACGAAAAAUCACGGAUUUUGGGUAAUUCCUAAAAAGGGGCUUGUAAAUGGUAGGGGUUAAAAAUUGUAUGAGUAUACAUGGUGGUUCCCAACUUAUUACGGAGGUCCUUAUAGCGUUUUUUGAGAAUAAAUUUUUGGGUGCUCUAGGGCGCCAAAUUCAUUGGCAUAACUCACGGAAAUUGAGGAUUUUAGGUAAUUUCUAUAAAAGGACAUAAAUGCGGGAAUAGGCAUUAAAAAUGGUGUGAGUAUACGUGGUGGUUCCUCAACUCAAUACGGAUUUCUUCAUAAAGUUUUAUGGAAAAAAAUUGGGUGCUCUGGGCGCCAUAUCCAUUGGCUAUAUAACACCUGAAAAAUCAUGGAUUUUGGGUAAUUCCUGAAAAAGGUCUUGUAAAUGCUGAAAUUGGCGUUAAAAAUGGUAUGAGUAUGCAUGGUGGUUCUCCAACUCAUUACGGUGGUCCUCAUAAAGAUUUUUGAGAAAAAUAAUUUCGGUGCUCCUGGGGGCUCGAUUCAUGGGCUAUAUAGCACACGAAAAAUCUAGGAUUUUGGGUGAUUCCUUAAAAGGGCUUCUAAAUGUGGAAAUAUGCGUUAAAAUGGUAUGAGUAAACCUGGUGGUUCACCCACUUAUAACGAAUGUCCUCAUAAUGCUUUUUGAGUCCUAAAAAAGAAUUUGUAAAUGCGGAAAUAGGCAUUAAAAAUGGUGUGAGUUAUAUGUGUUGUUUCCCGAAUUCAUUACAGAGGUACUCAUACAGAUUUUUGAGAAAAAUAUUUUGGGUGUUUCGGGGUGCCACAUCCAAGGGCUAUAAGACACGAAAAAUUGAGGAUAUUGGGUAAUUCCUAAAAAGGGGCUUCUAAAUGCAGAAAUAGGCGUUAAAAAAAUAUUAUGAGUAUACAUAGUGGUUCCCCAACUCAUUAAAUAGGUCCUCUUAAAGUUGUUUGAGAAUUUUUUUUUGGGUGCUUCGGGGCGCCAACUCCAUGGGCUAUAACACACGUAAAAUCGAGGGUUUUGCGUAAUUCCUAAAAGGGGUUUGUAAAUGCGGAAAUAGAGGUUAAAAAUGGUGUAAGUAUACAUGGUGGUUCCCUAACUCAUUACAGAGGUCGUCAUAAAAAAAAAUUGAAAAAAAGUUUUGGGUGCUUUAGGCGCCAAAUCCAUGAGCUAUAUAACACACGAAAAAUUAAGAAUUUUGGGUAAUUCUUAAAAGAGGUUUGUAAAUAGGAAAUGGACGUUAAAAAAAUGGUGUGAGUAAACGUGGUGGUUCGCCAACUCAUUAUGGCGGUCCUCAGAAAGUUUGUUAAGAAAAAAAAUUUGGGUGCUCUGAGCGCCAGAUCCAUGGAUUACCACACGAAAAAUUGAGGAUUUUGGGUGAUUGCUAAAAAAAGGAUUGUAAAUGCGGAAAUAGGGGUUAAAAAAGGUGUGAGUAUACAUGAUGGUUCCCUAACUCAUUACAAAGGUCGUCAUAAAGUUUUUUGAAAAAAAGUUUUGGGUGCUCGAGGCAUCCGAUCUAUGGGUUAUAACACACAACAAAAUCAAGAAUUUUGGGUAAUUCUUAAAAAGAGGCUUGUAAAUGCGGAAAUGGACGUUAAAAACCGGUGUGAGUAUACGUGGUGGUUCGCCAAUUCAUCAUGGAGGUCCCCAUAAAAAAAUUUGAGAGAAAAAAGUGGGGUGCUCCAAGCGCCAGAGCCAUAGGCUAUAACACACGAAAAAAUCGAGGAUUUUGGUCAUUUUCUAAAAAAAAAAGGAUUUUAAAUGCGGAAAUAGGCAUUAACAAUGAUGUUAAUAUACGUGAUGGUUCCCCAACUCAUUAUAGAGGUCCUCAUAAGGUUUUUUGAGAAAUAAAUUUUGGGUUCUCCGGGGUGCCAAAUCAAUGGGCUAUAGCAUAGGGAAAAUGGAGGAUUUUGGGUAAUUCAAUAAAAAGGACAUGUAAAUGUGGAAAUAAGCGUUAAGAAAUGGUAUGAGUAAAACUGGUGGUUCCCAACUCAUUAAGGAUUUCCUCAUAAAGUUUUUUGAGAAAAACAAUUUGAUGCUCCGGGGAGCCAGAUCCAUAGGCUAUAACACCCGACAAAUUGAGGAUUUUGGGUAAAUCCUAAAAACGGUCAUGUAAAUGCCGAAAUAGGCGUUAAAAAUGGUUUGAGUAUAUGUGGUGGAUCCACAACUCAUUACAUAGGUCCUCAUAAUAUCUUUUGAGAAAAAAAAAUUAUUGGAUGCUCCAGGCGCCAGAUCCACUGGCUAUAUAACAUACGAAAAAUCGUAUUUUGGGUAAUUCCUAAUAAGGAACUUAUAAAUGCGGAAAUAAGUGUUAAAAAUGGUGUGAGUAUACGAUGUUGUUCAGCUACUCAUUACGGAGAUCCUUAAAAGUUUUUUUAAAAAAAAUAUUUGGGUGCUUAGGGGAACCACAUCUAUGGGCUAUAACACGCGAAAAAUCGACAAUUUUGGAUAAUGCCUAAAAAGGGUAAUGUAAAUACGAAAAUAGGCUUUAAAAUGGUGUGAAUAUACAUGGUGAUUUCCCAAAUCAUUACAGAGGUCCUCAUAAAGUUUUUGAGAAAAACAUUAAGGGUUCUCUGGGCGCCAGAUCCAUGGCUAUAACACACGAAAAAUCGAGGAUUUUGGUUAAGUCCUAAAAAGGGCUUGUAGAUACGUAAACAGGCAUUAAAAUAGUUUUAGUAUACAUGUUGGUUCCCCAACUGAUUACAGAAAUUCUCAUAAAAAAAUUUAAGAAAAAAAAUUUGGGUGCUCUGGGGCGCCAGAUCCAUGGGCUAUAACACAUGAAAAAUCGAAGAUUUUGGGUAAUUCCUAAAAAAUUUCUUGUAAAUGCAGAAAUAGGCGUUAACAAAUGUUAUGAGUAUACAUGGUGGUUCCCCAACUCAUUACGGAGGUCCUCAUAAAGUUUUCUGAGAAUAUUUUUUGGGUGCCAGAUCAAUGGGAUAUAACACAUGGAAAAUCGAGGAUUUUGGGUAUUUACUAAAAAAAUGGAUUAUAAGUGCGGAAGCUUUAAAAAUGGUAUGAAUAUACGUGGUGGAUCCCAACUCAUUACGGAGGUCCUCAUAAAGUUUUUCAGAAAAAAGUUUUGGAACGAAAAUUUGAAGAUUUUGGUUAAUUCCUAAAAAAAAAUAUGUAAAUGCAGAAAAAUGUUUUUUAAAUGGUGUGAGUAUCCGUUGUGGUUCCAUUACUCAUUAUAGUGGUCCUCAUAAAGUUUUUUGAGAAAAAAAUUGGGUUCUCUAGGGCGCCAAAUCCAUGGGCUAUAACACACGAAAAAUUGAGAAUUUUGAGUAAUUGUUAAAAAGGGGCUGUAAAUGCGGAAAUAAGCGUUAAAAAUGGUGUGAGUAAACGUGGUGGUCCCCAAUUCAUUAAGGAAGUCCUCAUAAAAAUUUUUGAGAAAAAAAUUUGGGAUGCUCUGGGCGCCAGAUCCAUGGUCUUAUAACACACGAAUAAUCGAGGAUUUUGGUUAAUUCUUAAAAAGGCUUGUAAAUGCGAAAAUAAGCAUUAAAAAAUUGUGAGAGUAUAAGUGGUGGUUCCCCAACUCAUUACGGAGGUUCUCAUAAAUUUUAUGAGAAAAAAAUUUAUGGUGCUCUGGGCGCUUGAUCCAUGUGCUAUAACACAUGAAAAAUCAAAGAUUUUGGGUAAUAUCUAUAAAAGGGCUUGUAAAUGCGGAAAUGGAAAUUAAAAAUGGUAUGAGUAUACAUGGUGGUUUCCCAACACGUAAUGGAGAUCCUCAAUAUGUUUUUUGAGAAAAAAAUUUGGGUUCUCCGAGGCGCCAAAUCCAUGGGCUGUAACACACGAAAAAAUCAAAGAUUUUGGGAGAUUCCUAAGAAAGGGUAUGAAUGCGUAAAUAGGCAUUAAAACAAUGGUGCGAGUAUACGUGGUUGUUCCCCAACUUAUUAAGGAGGUCCUCAAAAAGUUUUUUGAGAAUUUUUUUUUUGGAUGCUUUGGGACACCAGUUCCAUUGGCUAUAACACACAAAAAAUCAAGUAAUUUGGGUAAUUCUUAAAAAGGUCUGUAAAUGCAGAAAUAGGCGUUAAAAAAAACGGGUGUGAGUAUACGUCGUGGUUCCCCAACUCAUUAUGGAAAUCCCCAUAAAUAUUUUUGAGACAAAAAAUUGGUGCUUCGGGAGCCAGAUUCAUGGGCUAUAACACACGAAAAAUUGAGGAUUUUGGGUAAUUCUUAAAAAAGGGUUUAUAAAUGAGGAAACAUGCGUUUCAAAAAUUGUGUGAGUAUACGUGGUGGUUCCCAACUCAUUACAGAGGUCCUAAAAAAGUUUUUUGAGAAAUAUUUUAGGGAGCUCCGCGGAGUUAGAUCCAUGGGCUAUAACACAUGAAAAAUUGAGGAUUUUUGGUAAUUCUUUAAAAAGGGCCUAUAAAUGCUGAAAUUUGCAUUAAAAUGGUGUAAGUAUACGUGGUGGUUCCCAACUCAUUACAGAGGUCCUAAAAAAGUUUUUUGAGAAAUAUUUUAGGGAGCUCCGCGGAGUUAGAUCCAUGGGCUAUAACACAUGAAAAAUUGAGGAUUUUUGGUAAUUCUUUAAAAAGGGCCUAUAAAUGCUGAAAUUUGCAUUAAAAUGGUGUAAGUAUACGUGGUGGUUCCUAAAAUCAUUACGGAGUUCCUCAUAAAGUUUUUUUAGAAAAUAACUUUGGGUUUUCCUAGGCGUCAGAAGCAUGGGCUAUAACACACGAAAAAUUGAAGAUUUUGAGUAAUUCCUAAAAAAGGGUUGUUAAAUGCGGAAAUAGGUGUUAAAAUGCUCUGAGUAUACGUGAUGGUUCCCCAACUCUUUACGGAGGUUCUCAUAAAGUUUUUUGAGAAAAAAACUUUGGGUGCUCAAGGCGCUAGAUCCAUGGGAUAUAACACACGAAAAAUUGAGGCUUUUGGGUAAUUUCUAAAAAAGGCCUUGUAAAUGUGGAAAUAUGUGUUAAAAAUUGUGUGAGUAUACGUGGUCGUGCCCCAACUCAUUACGAAGGUCCUCAUAAAAAAAUUUAAGAAAAACUUUUUGGGUCCUACAAAGCGCCAUAUUCAUGGGCUAUAACACAUGAAAAAUUAAGGAUUUUGGGUAAUUCCUAAAUAAAAAGGGGUUGUAAAUGCGGGAAUAGGAGUAAAAAAAAUUGUCUGAGUAUACGUGAUAGUUCACUAAUUCUUUACGGAGGUGCUCACAAAAUUUUUUGAGAAAUUUUUUUUUAGUGCUCAGGAGCGCCAGAUCCAUGAACUUUAACACACGAAAAAUUGAGGAUUUUGAGUAAUUUCUAAAAAAAGGCUUGUAUAUGCGAAAAAUAGGUGUCUAAAAAUAUAGUGCGAGUAUACGUGGUGAUUUCCUAACUCAUUACGGAGGUUCUCAUAAUUUUUUUGAGAAAGAAACUUUAGGUGCUCCGGGUACCAGAUCCAAGGGUUAUAACGCACAAAAAAUUGAGGAUUUUGGAUAAUUCCUAAUAAAUGGCUUGUAAAUGCGGAAAUGGGGGUUUUAAAUGGUGUGAGUAUACGUGCCGGUUCUCCAAAUCAUUACGGAGGUCAUCAUAAAAUUUUCUGAGAAAAAAAUUUAGGGUGCUCCGAGGUGCUAGAUCUAUUUCCUAUACACACGAAAAAUCGAGGAUUUUUAGUAAUUUCUAUAAAGGGCUUAUAAAUGCAGAAAUAGGAAUUUAAAAAUAUAGCGUGAGUAUACAUGGUUGUUCCCCAACUCAUUCGGGAGGUCCUCAUAACUUUUUGAGGAAAAAACUUUCGGUUCUCCUGGACGCCAGAACCAAGGGCAAUAACACACAAAAAAUUGAGGGUUUUGGGUUAUUUCUAAAAAGAGCCUGAAAAUGCAAAAAUAGACUUUAAAAAAAUGGUGUGAAUAUAUGUGGUGGUUAACCAACUCAUUACGAAGCUCCACAUAAAGUUUUUUUGACAAAAAAGUUUUAGGUGCUCCAGGCGCCAGAUCCAUGGGCUAAAACGCACGAAAAAUUGAGGAUUUUGGGUAAUUCACAAAAAAUGACUUGUAAAUUCAGAAAUAAGUGUUAAAAAUGGUGUGAGUAUACGUGGUGGUUCCCCAACUCAUUACGAGGUCCUCAUAAAGUGUUUUGAGAAAAAAAAAUUAGGUGCUCCGGGGUGCUAGAUCCAUGGGAUAUAACACACGAACAAUUGAGGAUUUUAGGUAAUUUCUCAAAAAGGGCCUUUAAAUGCGAAAAUGGGCGUUAAAAUGGUGUGAGUAUGUGUGGUGGUUCCCCAACUCAUUGUGGAGGUCAUCAUAAAGUUUUUUGAGAAAAAAAAAUUUAGGUACUCCGGGGCAUUAGAUCCAUGGGCUAUAACACACGAAAAAUUGAGGAUUUUAGAUAAUUCCUAACAAAGGGCAUGUAAAUGCGGAAAUAUGCCUUAAUAAAAUGGUGUGAGCAUACGUGGUGAUUCCCAACUCAUUACGGAAUCCUCAUAAAGUUUUUUGAAGAAAAAAAUUGGGUGCUCGGGAUGCCAGAUCCUUGGGCUAUAACACACGAAAAAUAGGGAUUUUGGGUAAUUUCUUAAAAAGGGAAUGUAAAUGCGGAAAUAGGUGUUAAAAAUGCUGUGAAUAUUCGUGGUGGUUCUCCAACACAUUACAGAGCUCCUCAAACGAUUUUUUGAUUAAAAAAAAAAAUUGGUGCUCCAUGGCGCCAGAUUCAUGGGCUAUAACACACGAAAAAGCGAGAAUUUUGGAUAAUUCCUAAAAAAGGGCUAGUAAAUGCAAAAAUAGGUGUUAAAAAUGGUGUGAGUAUACAUGGUGGUCCCCAACUCAUUACGGAGGUACUCAUAAAGUUUUUUGACAAAAAAAAAUUUGGGUGCUCUGGGGCAUCAGAUCUAUGGUGCUAUAUAUAUAACACACGAAAAUUGAGAAUUUUGAGUAAUUCCUAAGGCCUGCAAAUGCGGAAAUAGGUGUUAAAAAAAUAAUGUGAAUAUACGUGGUAGUUCCCUGACUCAUUACAGAGGUCCUCAUAAGGUUUUUUUAAAAAACAAAUUGGGUGCUCCGAGGCGCUAUAUCCAUGGGUUAUAAGACAUGAAAAAUCAAGUAUUUUGGGUAUUUUCUAAAAAAUGGCAUGUAAGUGCAAAAAUAAGCGUUAAAAAUGGUGUGAGUAUAUGUGGUGGUUUCCCAACUCAUUAUGGAGGUCCUCAUAUAGAUUUUUGAGAAAAAAAUUUGGUGCUCCGGGGAGUCUGAUCCAUGGGCUAUAACACAUGAAAAUCGAGGAUGUUGGGUAAUUCCUAAAAAAAGGGCCUUUAAAUGCGGAAAUAGGCGUUAAAAAAUUGUGUCAAUAUACGUGGUGGUUCCCAACUCAUUACGGAGGUAAUCAUAAAGUUUUUUGAGAAAAAAAAAUUGGAUACUCCGGGGCGCCAGAUCCAUUGUCUAAACAUUCAAAAAAUUGAGGAUUCUGGGUAAUUCCCAAAAAAUGGCCUAUAAAUGCGAAAAUAGAUGUUCAAAAAAUUGUGUGAGUAUACAUGGUGGUUCCCAACUCAUUCGGAAGUCCUCAUAAAUUUUUUUGAGAAAAACUUUUUGGGUGCUUCAGGGCACCAAAUCCAUAGGCAAUAACACACGAAAAUCUCGAAUUUUGGGUAAUUUCUAAAAAAAAGGGUCUGUAAAUGCGGAUAUAGGUGUUAAAAAAUUUGUGUGAGUACAGGUAGUGGUUUCUCAACUCAUUACGGAGGUCCUCAUAAAGGUUUUUGAGAAAAAAAAUUGAGGAUAUUCUAAAAAAGGGCAUGUAAAUGCUGAAAUAGGCGUUAAAAAAUGGUGUCAGUAUACGCGGUGGUUUCCCAAUUCAUUACGAAGGUCCUAAUAAAGUUUUUUGAGAAAAAAAAAUUAGGUGCUCCGGGUCGCCUGAUCCAUGGGCUAUAACAUACAAAAAAUCGAGGAUUCUUGGUAAUUCCUAAAAAGGGCCUAUAAAUGCGGAUCUGCUCAUUACAGAGGUCCUAAUAAAGUUUUUUGUGAAAAAAAAAUUUGGGUGCUCUGGGGAGCCAGAUCUAUAGGCUAUAACACAUGGAAAAUUUAGGAUUUUAGGUAAUUCCUAAAAAAGGCCCUGUAAAUGUGGAAAUUGGCAUUGUGUGAGUAUACGUAGUGGUUCCCCAACUCUUUACGGAGGUCCUCAUUAAGUUUUUUGAGAAAACGAUUUUGGGUGCUUCGAGGCGCCAUAUCCAUGGGCUAUAACACUCAAAAAAUCUAGGAUUUAGGGUAAUUCUUUAUAAAGGGUCUGUAAAUUCGGAAAUAGGCAUUUAAAAUGGUGUGAGUAUACGUGGUGGUUCCCCAACUCAUUACGUAGGUCCUCAUAAAGUUUUUUGUGAACAAAUUUUUUGGCCUAUAACACACGAAAAAUCGAGGAUUUUUUGUCAUUCUUCAAAAAGGGCCUGUAAAUGUGGAAAUAGGCAUUAAAAUGGUGUGAGUAUACAUGGUGGUUUCCCAACUCAUUACAGAGGUCCUCAUAAAGUUUUUUGAAAAAGAGAUUUUGGGUGAUUCAGAGCGCCAAAUCCAUGGGUUAUAACACAUAAAAAAUUGAGGAUUUUGGGUACUUCCCAAAAAAGGGCCUGUAAAUGCGGAAAUAGACGUUAAAAAUGGUGUGAGUAUAUGUGGUGGUUCCUCAACUCAUUGUGAAGGUACUCAUGAAGUUUUUUGAGAAAAAAAAUUUGGGUUCUCACGAACGCUAGAUCCAUGGGCUAUAACACACAUAAAAUCGAGGAUUUUGGAUAAUUCCUAAAAAGGGACUGUAAAUGCGGAAAGUGACGUUAAAAAUUAAUGUGAGUAUACGUGAUUGUUCCCCAACUCAUUACGUAUGUCCUAUAAAUUUAUUUGAGAAAAAAAUUGAGUGCUUCGGGGCACCAGAUCCAUAGGUUAUAGCACACGAAAAAUCGAGGAUUUUAGAUAAUUCGUAAAAAAGGUCUGAAAAUGUGGAAAUAGGCGUUAAAAAGUGGUGUGAGUAUACAUGGUGGUUCCCCAACUCACUGCGUAGGUCCUCAUAAAGUUUUUUGAGAAAAUAAUAUUUGGUGCUCUGGAGCGGCAGACAAUGGGCUAUACACACGAAAAAUCGAGGAUAUUGGGUAAUUUCCAAAAGAGGUCUCGUAAAUGCGGAAAUAUGCGUUAAAAAUGGUGUGAGUAUACGUGGUGGUUCUCCAACUCAUUACAGAGGUCAUCAUAAAGUUUUUAUCGAAAAAAAAUUUGGGUUCUCCGGGGCGCUAGAUCCAUGGGAUAAAACACACGAAAAAUCAAGAAUUUUGAGUAAUUCCUAAAAAAAGGGUGUGUAAAUGCGGAAAUAGGCGUUAACAAAAUGGCGUGAACAUACGUGGUGGUUCCCCAACUCAUUACGGAGGUCCUCAUGAAGUUUUUUGAGAAUAUAAAUUUGGGUGCUCUGGGGCGCCAUAUCCAUGGGAUAUAACACAAGAAAAAAUUGAGGAUUUUGGGUUAUUUCUAAAAAAAAAAAUUGUAAAUGCGGAAAUAAGCGUUAAAAAAUGGUGUGAGUAGACUUGGUGGUUCCCCUACUCAUUACAAAGCUCCUCAUAAAGUUUUUUGAGAAAACAAUUUGGGUACUCUAGGGCACUAGAUCGUUGAGCUAAACACAAAAAAUUGAGGAUUUUGGAUAAUUUCUAAAAAGGGCUUGUAAAUGCGAAAAUAGGCGUUAAAAAUGGUGUAAGUAUAUGUGGUGGUUCCCCAACUUAUUGCGGAGGUCCUCAUAAAGUUUUUUUUUGAUAAAAAAAAAUUGGGUGCUCCGGAGCGCUGAUGUGCCGCGAAAUCUUGGCACAUUUGAUGCUUGAAAACUAAGGAUUAAUACUAGAAUCGAGUGUAUUUAUGUGGAUAUGAAGUGUUUGGUAGUGUUUGUGCAGGUAAAACAUGUGGACUUGAAAGAAGAAAGAAAAGAAGAAAAUGCAGAGUGAAAGUGAAUUGAACCAAGUGAAGAUCACGAACACUUAGACGGGCCAUGAAGAUCAUGACUGAUCGUGAUAUGGCUCGUGAAUUAGAACCAGUGAGAAGGCAUGGAAGAAUUACAUUUUAGUGGAGCAAGUAAGGACCACGGACGACCUUAUGGGCCGUGGUUCUCACAACGGUUCGUGGAGGUGAUCGUGAAGUGGAUCCAGUAAAUAGGCAUCAAAAAGCUGAAGAGUGAAUUGGCCAAGUGAAGACCACGGGCACCUAUACGAACCGUGGUCAUUGUCACGACCCGGGGUGAUGUUCGUGGUGCUUUUUCAGUGUGCAGGCCUUAAAGACCCAAGUUUGGAGAGGUGCCAAGUAAAGACCACGAAGGGCAUCACGGACCGUCAAGGCACUCGUGAAUAUGCGCAACAGAUCAUUCCUACUUCGAGUAGGACUCUUUUUAGACACUUUAUUUGAAUUAAUUAGGUCGUUUAUUGUUUUUAUCUUGUCAUAUCUGGAACGAGCGGCGAUGGUUGAAGUACUCUUGACUUUAGUUUUUAUCGAUUAACAUUGAAUCGAUCUUGGAAGUUGGAUUUUGAUUUUUCUCAAUAUCAAGCGUUCAUUGAAUUUGCAGAUUUUCGUAAGUAAACUUUCUUAAUGUUUUCAUUACUAAUCUUUGUUCAUUUAGUAGAAAUCAUGAGUGGCUAAACACCACAACUAGGAUUGUGGGAACUAUGACAGAAAUCUAAACGCGAAUUCGUAACACGAGUAGAAGGUGAAUUGUAUUUGCAAUAUUUAACUCAACUUUCGUUGUUCAUUUGUUCUAAUGAGUGCACGUAUUAGAGUCAGCAUGUAUCUAUCAAUUCUUUGACAGAAAAGAGAUAGUUGGGAAAAAGCGGAGAGAAAAGCGAACUUUAACAUCAUUGUACGCGGGGGUAGAAUUUGUUAAUGCUCAAGGAUCGAGAGGAAUUGAGUGAAAAUUAUCUAACUAGACUGAGAAGUGUUAGAUAUAGUCAACUCGCUUAUAAUUUGCAAAGACUAAAUUACCUGAAACUCAGUUACGGAUGAACAAUAGAUGUAAUGUCAUGGAAAACACAACCCUGGUUCUAUUUAUUUAUCAAAACAACUUUAGAAUCAACACUCUGUUAAUUGUUAAUCUGGAUUUAUUUUAACAAUCUUAGUUACUAAAAUUUUACAGCUAAACCCAAUUUACAUUUUGUAAUUGUUUUCUCUAGGAAAUAAUAAUAACAUUUGGGUAAACGCGACAGUGAAAUCAUUUAUGUAAAGAAAUUCUCUGUGGGAUCGACCUCAACUCACGUUGAGUUCUAUAAAUUGACUUUGACCGUUUAUAAUUCUUAAUUGAAGUGUAAGUUUGGACGUAUCAAGCGUCAGAUCCAUGGGCUAUACACACAAAAAAACCGAGGAUUUUUGGUAAUUGCUAAAAAAGGGACAGUAAAUGCGGAAAUAGGUGUUAAAAAUGGUGUGAGUAUACGUGGAGGUUCCCCAACUCAUUACUUAGGUACGCAUAAAGGUUUUUGAGAAAAAAGUUUUGGGUGCACCGGGGCGCCAGAACAAUGGGCUAACACGAAAAAUUGAGGAUUUUGGGUAAAUCCUAAAAAUGGCCUAUAAAUGCGAAAAUAGGUGUUAAAAAAAUGGUGUGAGUAUAUGUAGUGAUUCCCCAACUCAUUACGGAGGUCCUCAUAUUUUUUGUUGAGAAAACAAUUUUGGAUGCUCCGAGGCGCCCGAUCAAUGGGCUAUAACAUACGAAAAAUCGAGGAUUUUGGAUAAUUCUUAAAAAGGGCAUGUGAAUGCGGUAAUAAACGUUAAAAAUGGUGUGAGUAUACGUGGUGGUUUCCCAACUAAUUACGGAGGUCCUCAUAAAGAUUUUUGAGUAAAAAAUUUAGGGUUCUCCGGGGUGCCAAAUCCAUGGUCAUAACAUACGAAAAAUCGAUGAUUUUGGGUAAUUCCUAAAAAAGGGUCUAUAAAUGCAUAAAUAGGCGUUAAAAAUGGUGUGAGUAUACGUGGUGGUUCCCUAACUCACUACGGAGGUCCUCAUAAUAUUUUUGAGAAAAACAAUUCGGGUGCUCUGAAGCGCUAGAUCUAUAGGCUAUAACACAUGAAAAAUUGAGGAAUUUGGGUAAUUUCUAGAAAAAAAGGCUUGUAAAUGCGAAAAUAGGCAUUAAAAAUGGUGUGAGAAUACGUGGUGGUUCCCCAACUCAUUACGGAAGUCCUCAUAAAGUUUUUUGAGAAAAAAAUUUGUGGUGCUCCGGGGCACCAGAUUCAUGGGCUAUAACGCAUGAAAAAUCGAGGAUUUUGGGUAAUUCUAAAAAAGGGCUUGUAAUAGGAAAUAGUCGUUAAAAAAAUGGUGUGAGUAUACGUCGUGGUUCCCAAACUCAUUACGGAGGUCCUCAUAAAGUUUUUUGAGAAAAAAAUCUUGGGUGCUCCGCGGCGCCAGAUCCAUGGGUUAUAUAACACACGAAAUAUCGAGGAUUUUGGGUAAUUCCUAAUAAAAGGCCUGCAAAUUCAAAAAUAGGCAUUCUAAUAUGGUGUGAGUAUACGUGGUGGUUCCCCAAAUAAUUACGGAGAUCCUCAUAAAGUUUUUUGAGGAAAAAAAAUUAGGUGCUUAGGGGCGCCAAAUCCAUGGGUUAUAACACACGAAAAAUUGAGUAAUUUGGGUAAUUCCUAAAAAGUGCCUCUAAAUGCAACAAUAGUCGUUAAAAAAAGGUGUGAGUAUACGUGGUGGUUCUCUAACUCAUUACGGAGGUCCUCAGAAAGUUUUUUGAGAAAAUAUAAUUUAGGGUGCUCCGGGGCACCAGAUCCAUAGGCUAUAUAACACAUGAAAAAUCGAAGAUUUUGCGUAAUUCCUAAAUGGUGUGAGUAUACGUGGUGGUUCCUCAACUCAUUAUGGAGGUCCUCACAAAGUUUUUUGAGAAAAAAAAUUCAGUGCUCCAAGCGCUAGAUCCAUGUGCUAUAAAACACGAAAAAUCGAGAAUUUUGGUUAAUUCCUAAAAAAGGCUUGUAAAUAAGGAAAUAGGCGUUAAAAAUUAUGUGAGUAUAUAUGGUGGUUCCCCAACUCAUUACGAAGGUUCUCAUAAUAUUUUUUGAGAAAAGAAUUUUGGGUGCUCUGGGGCACCAGAUCAUUGGGCUAUAACAAACGAAAAAUUGAGGAUUUUGGGUAAUUCAUAAAAAAGGGCCUCUAAGUGCGGAAAUAGGCAUUAAAAAUGGUGUGAGUAGAUGUGGUGGUUCCCCAACUCAUUACGGAGGUCCUUAUAAAGUUUUUUGAGAAAAAAAAUUAGGUGCUCCAGGCGCCAGAUCCAUGGGCUAUAACACAUGAAAAAUUGAGGAUUUUGGGUAAUUCCUAAAAAGGGACUUGUAAAUGUGAAAAUAGGCAUUAAAAAAAUGGUGUGUAUACGUGGUGGUGCCCCAAAUCAUGACGGAUGUCCUCAUAAAAAAUUUUGAGAAUAAAAUUUUGGGUGCUCUGAGGUGCCUAAUCCAUGGGCUAUAACACACGAAAAAUCGAGAAUUUUGGGUAAUUUCUAAAAAAAAGCAUGUAAAUGCUGCAAUAGGCGUUAAAAAGAUAGUGUGAGUAUACGUUGUGGUUCUCCAACUCAUUAGGGAGGUCCUGAUAAAGCUUUUUAAGAAAAAAUUAUGGUUGCUCUGGGUGCCAGAUCCAUGGGCUAUAACACACGAAAAAUCGAGAAUUUUGGGUAAUUUCUAAAAAAAAGCAUGUAAAUGCUGCAAUAGGCGUUAAAAAGAUAGUGUGAGUAUACGUUGUGGUUCUCCAACUCAUUAGGGAGGUCCUGAUAAAGCUUUUUUAAGAAAAAAAUUAUGGUUGCUCUGGGUGCCAGAUCCAUGGGCUAUAACACACGAAAGAUCGAGGAUUUUGGGUAAUUCCUAAGAAAGGGCUUUAAAAUGCCGAAAUAGGCGUUAAAAUGGUAUGAGUAUACAUGGUGGUUCCCCAACUCACUAUGGAGGUCCUCGUAAACUUUUUUGAGAUAAAAAUUUUGGGUGAUCCGGGGCACCAGAUCUAUAGGCUAUAUAACACUAGAAAAAUCGAGGAUUUUGGCUAAUUCCUAAAAAAGGGCAUGUAAAUGUGGAAAUAGGCGUUAAAAAUAUGGUGUGAGUAUACGUGGUGGUUUCCCAACUAAUUACGGAGGUCCUCAUAAUAUUUUUUGAGAAAAUAAUUUUUGGUGCUCCAAGCCAGAUCCAUGGGCUAUAUUAACACAUGAAAAAUUGAGGAUUUUGGAUAAUUCCUAAAAGAGGGCCUGUAAAUGCGGAAAUAUGAGUUAAAAAUAUGGUGUGAGUAUACGUGGUGGUUCCCCAACUCAUUACAGAGGUCCUCAUAAUUUUUUUUGAGGAAAGAAUAUUUGGUGCUCCGGGUGCCAGAUCCAUGGGCUAUUAUAACACACACAAAAUUGAGGAUUUUGUGUAAUUUCUUAAAAAAAGCUUGUAAAUGCGGAAAUAGGCGUUAAAAAAUGGUGUGAGUACACGUGGUGGUUCCCCAACUCAUUACGGAGGUCCUCAAAAUGAUUUUUGAGAAAAAAAUGUUGGGUGCUUCCGGGCGCCAGAUCCAUGAGAUAUAACACACGAAAAAUUGAGGAUUUUGGGUAAUUCCUAAAACGGGGUCUUCAUAUGCGGAAAUAGGCAUUAAAAAAAUGGUGUGAGUAUACGUGGUGGUUCCCCAACUCAUUACGGAGGUCCUCAUUAAAUUUUUUGAGAAAAAAAUUUUGGGUGCUCCGCGGCCAAAUCCAUGGCUAUAAGUCUAUAACACACGAAAAAUCGAGGAUUUUGGGUAAUUUAUAAAAAAAAAAAAGACUUGUAAAUUUGAAAAUAGACGUUAAAAAUGGUGUGAGUAUACAUGAUGGCUCCCCAACUCAUUACAGAGGUCCUCAUAAUGUUUUUUAAGAAAAAAAAACUGGGUGUUCCGGCACUAGAUCCAUGGGCACACACGAAAAAUCGAGGGUUUUGGGUAAUUUUAAAAAAGGGCCUGCAAGGCGGAAAUAGACUUUAAAAAAUGGUUUGAGUAUACGUGGUGGUUCCCCAACUCAUUACGGAGGUCCUCAUAAAGUAUUUUGAGAAAAUAAUUUUGGGUGCUCCGAGGCUCUAGAUCCAUGGGCUAUAACACGAGAAAAUCGAGGAUUUUUGGUAAUUCCUAAAAUAGGUCUUGUAUGCAGAAAUAUGCAUUAAAAUGGUGUGAGUAGACGUGGUGGUUCCCCAAAUCCUUAAGGAGGUCCUCAUAAAUUUUUUUGAGAAAAAAAAAUUGGAUGUUAUGGGGCGCCAGAUCCAUAGGUUAUAAUACACGAAAAAUCGAGGAUUUUUGAUAAUUCCUAAAAAAGGGGCUUGUAAAUGCUGAAAUAGGCGUUAAAAAAAUGGUGUGAGUAUACGUGGUGUUUUUUCAACUCAUUACAAAGAUUCUUAUAAAAAGUAAAGGGUAUCACAUAAAUUGCCAUAGAGGGAUAAUUAAAAGUGUUUAUCAUAUGAUUGCUUUAAACAAUAGAAGAAGGCACAACAGAAUGAUUAACAUUGAUUCUCCAUAAUUUCAAAUAGAUUUGGAAGACUCAAUUCUCAUAAAUUCUUUAUUUAGAUAGUCUCUCUUAACAGGUUGCCCACUACACAGCCCCUUUACGAAAGAGGUAUUACCAACAAUACCAUAUGUCAUGCCAACGGUCAAGAACCUAAAAUUAUGGGGUUGUUUGGUAGGCCGCAUUAAAAGAAAUAGUCAAUGUAUUAUGUAUGCUAUUAUUUAGUAUUACUAUGUUUGGUAGAAAUUAGAGUCUAUGUAUAACUAAUACAUGAAUCAGCUAUACAUCCUAUAUGGUAUUAUAGGAUGUAUUACUAAUACCUUCCAUUUGGAGGUAUUAGUAAUACAUAGGAUAUAAUACCAUGGAAUAAGUUAAUGUAAAGACAAAAAUAUCCCUCAAAUCAUUUUAAUUAUUUUCUUGAUUUUACGUUUUAUAUUUGUACUAGUAAAAUUAUUUAAAUAAAUUAGCUUACAAAUUAUUUAAAGAGAGUUGUUUGUUACUAAUUAAAUCCAACACAAAUUUGAAAUGUGAGUUAUUUAACAUUUACUAAUUAAAAAGGCAAAUAUAUCACUACAUGACGUUUGCAAUCUUAAUUUAAUGUAUUAUGAACAAUUUAAAAAAUUACAUACAUAUUAAAGGGAAAAUGCAUAAGUACCCCCAACAUAUGCCCAAAAUCUCAGAGACACACUUGUACUAUACUAAGGUCUUAUUACCCCCCCCCCCGAACUUAUUUUAUAAAUAAUUUUCUACCCCUUUUCGGCCUACGUGGCAGUAUCUUCUGAGCCCAACGCGUGUUGACAAUUUUUUUCAAACUAUCUGGUUGACAGUGCCACGUAGGCCGAAAAGGGGUAGAAAAUUAUUUAUAAAAUAAGUUCGGGGGGUAAUAGGACCUUAGUAUAGUAUAAGUGUGUCUCUGGGAUUUCAGGCAUAGGUUGGGGGGUACUUAUGCACUUUCCCACAUAUUAAAACUAUAACUUGCAUUUUUUAUGUGUAAAUGUAGAUGGUUUAUUCAAUCUUACCAUUGUUGACCAAUUUUCAAUUUUAAAAGUAGAUGGUUUAUCUUUUUUAAAUUGAAAAUAAACAUCUUGUGAGUGAUCAAUUAAUAAAGAUAACAAUUAUUUAUCCUCAAACAAUUCAAGUGAAAAAAUAGGAAACAUGACAACAAAAUCGUUCUUUCUCAUAGCUAUUGAAUAUUGUCUACUAACUAAGAAACAAUAGAUAGGAAAAGAUAAUGUACUCAAAGUUGCUACAUAAAAUGGUAAACCACUGGAUGAAUGUACUUGUAAACUCAAGAAUAGAGAAACAUGUAGACUCCAAGAGGAAUCGAUGGAGUAAUCAGAGAAACACAGAAACUGGAUUAUAGGGUUCAGCAAGAAUAUUCCAUACACAACAAACAUCUAUGCUGAAAUCAUGGCACUAAAAACAGGUUUGAAAAUAAUUUACCCCCUGGUUUUUCUGUCUUCGUUUGAAAAUAAUUGUCCAGGUACAAGAUAUCCUAGACAAAUCAAGCUAUGUAAUUAACUGUUCUAGUAUUAAUGAAAAUUAGUCCUUUUUCGGCCGAAAAAAGGAUAGAGCUAGAACAAGAUUGAUCUUUGACAACAGAAAGGAUGAUCAGUUCUCCUCAUUUGCGAUCCAGGUAUGAGAAGAAAUAGGUGUGCUCAAUAGAGGGGAGGCACAUAAUGGCAGAUGACGAUAAGGUUUUGCAAAAUAAAAGCCUUUUUGAAUUCUGUCUUGUUUUCCAGGUUCCAUGCUCCCUUGUGCAAUAUGCUAAGUCAAUAUUGAUGGCACAUCAUGGAGUGGAUGGCCUUUGCUGUUUCUUUCCAUAACCCUUCGAGCAAGAGAAACUUGCUUCCCAACGACAAAUAUGAAUGCCUUUCCUUUUCCUCCAGCACCCCUGGCAGUUCUGCCAACACGACGUACAUAUUCACUAGGGUCUCGGGGAUAAUCAAAGAGGACUACGUGGUCUACACCUUCAAAGUCAAUACCUCGGGAUGCUCUGCAACAUUGUUUAGAAGACAUCAGUUCAGAUUUCUUGUCCCUUCUUCUAGUGAGGGAAACAGCUGAAGUGCGU
rnacentral:lncRNA from 1 species